rnacentral:tRNA from 1 species
GGAGAGGUGUCAGAGUGGUCGAAUGAACCGGUUUCGAAAACCGGCGUCCCGCAAGGGACCGUGGGUUCGAAUCCCACCCUCUCCGCCA